GAGUUUGUAUCGUGGCUCAGGAUGAACGCUAGCGGCAGGCCUAAUACAUGCAAGACGAACGGUAAGUUGUGUAGCAAUACAUAACCUAGAGUGUCGUAAGGGUGCGUAACACGUAUCGUCAAUCUGCCCGGAACUGGAGGAUAGCUCGCCGAAAGGCGAAUUAACACUCCAUAGGAUGGUAGGGAGGCAUCUCCUAGUCAUUAAAAACUACGGUGGUUUCGGAUGAGCAUGCGGAUGAUUAGCUAGUUGGUGAGGUAACGGCUCACCAAGGCGAUGAUCAAUAGGGGAACUGAGAGGUUGAUCCCCCACACUGGCACUGAGAUACGGGCCAGACUCCUACGGGAGGCAGCAGUAGGGAAUAUUGGACAAUGGGUGCGAGCCUGAUCCAGCCAUG
rnacentral:rRNA from 1 species